GAGUCUGACGACAGGCCCAAAUCUAAAGAGCGAGACAACGUGGUUCGGUGAUAAAUAUAAAUACUUUUCUCUCUUCUCUUUGCUUUCCGACAAACCCCCUCUCCGGUCGUACUACCUUUUCUGCAAUUAUACAAACAAUCUCUUUCUCAAAUCUGUGCUGUGGAUUGUGUAUAUACUUCACUUUUCUUUGUGUUCAUGUUAGGUUUCCGUACAUCAAAUCUCUUGGUUCGGGGGGUUUUAUAAGGAGGGUAGAGGAGACGGUAAAAUUGGAGGGUUUUUCUGUUUGUUUCUCUCUUAGGGUUUCUCUAGAUUGAGUAGAAAUUGGGAUUGGUAGAGUUUCUCUUUCUUCUAAAGGAUUCUUGAGUUUGUAUGAGUGCGAGGAUUGGUGGACUUGGCAUUUCGAUUUUCGUUCUGCUUAGUUUGCCUCUUUGAGUUUUUUCUUUUCUUUUUCGUUGCGUUUGAAGAGGAAAGGAAGUUUUGCGCGCAAUAUAUCUGCUAGGAGUGUUAUCAGAAUUCAAUUUUGGCAUUUUAAUUCUUUUAUUUGCUUUGGUAUGGAUCAGCUCUGUCCUUCUGGAGAAUUUGAAGUGAUGAAUCGAGUUCUCUGUCUUAGGGUUUUUAUUCUGGUAGGAUGUUCAAAUUAACCUUGAAUUUAGGACUUGGAGGUGGUUUUGUUGUAUUUGAAUUCAGGAACAAGGUAGUAAAGAUUGUGUUUUAGUUAUAGUUUUUUAAUUGGGAAACGCAGAAUUCAAGAUAAACAGUUACCCUUGCCUGGUGUUGUAUUCUGAUAUUCAAAUAAGUCGAAGGCUUAGCCAUGGCCUCCUACAGGCCAUUCCCUCCACAAUCCUCCUUCCCUCCGCCAUCAAAUCAAAAUCCUUUACCACCCCCGCAGCAGCAGAGAGGAAACCAGUAUAAUCAAAAUUGGAACUAUAGUGGUAGUAAUGCUGGUGGGGAAGGGUCUACCUCUGCAGCUACUUCUUUUCCUCAGAAUUUCAGUCAAGUGCAGCCUAAUUCUAAUUACCACCAGUCCUACCCUGCUUCUAGACCGCCACCUCCUCAUCAGCAGUACUCUUAUCCACCUCCUCCCCCACCUCCGCCUUCUGAUUCCUCCUUCCCUCCACCACCGCCACCACCUUCAAUGCCGCAAAAUUCAAUGAUUUUACAGUCGCAGCAACCUCCUGCGUAUUAUCAGUCUUCUCAGUAUCCACAAUAUAAUCAUCAGUCUAUGCAGCCACCUCCUCCACCCCCACCUCCUUCUUCUCCACCCCCAAGUUCUUCAAUUCCCCCCCCGCCACCUCCAGGUUCCCCUCCUCCGCCUCCAUUGGCUCCUCCUCAAAGUAAGGAGGCUGGAGCAAAUAAGGGAUCAAAAGAUCGUGAUAAAGGGAUGCAUAGAGAUGUAUCCGAGUCUGGAAGGCGCGGGCACUCUAAUCAUGUGGUUCCAGUGAAACAGCAAAGACCCUCAGUUCCUCCUGGUAAGAAGCCAAAUGAUCCUCCUGGGAGGAUGGAGACGGAAGAAGAGAGAAGGAUGAGAAAGAAGCGGGAGUUUGAGAAACAAAGGCAGGACGAGAAGCACAGACAGCAGAUGAAGGAAUUGCAAAAUAGUGUUCUGCAGAAGGCUCAACUAAUGUCUGCGGGCAAGGGGCAUGGUUCAAUUGUUGGGUCAAGAAUGGGGGAUAGGAGGAGCACGCCUUUUCUAAGUGGUGAGAGGAUUGAGAAUAAGUUAAAGAAGCCAACAACUUUUUUGUGCAAAUUGAAAUUCCCGGAAUGAGCUACCUGAUCCAAGUGCACAACCGAAGCUCAUGGCGCUAAAGAGAGACAAAGAUCAAUAUACAAAAUACACUAUAACAUCUCUGGAGAAAAUGUGGAAGCCUGAACUAUAUGUGGAGCCUGAUAUUGGGAUACCUCUUGACCUGCUUGAUCUCAGUGUAUACAAUCCUCCCAGUGUUAGACCACCUAUGGCCCCUGAAGAUGAGGAAUUAUUGCGUGAUGAUGAAGUUGUUACCCCUGUGAAGAAAGAUGGCAUAAGAAGGAAA